AGCGGCAGGUUAUACAUGCAAGUCGUGGAAGCAGCGCAGUGUAGCAAUACAUGGGCGGCGACCUGGCAAACGGGUGCGGAACACGUACGCAACCUUCCUUUAACUGGAGAAUAGCCCGGAGAAACCCGGAUUAUACUCCGUAACAUUAUGAAGUGGCAUCACUUUAUAAUUAUAGCUCCGGCGGUUGAAGAUGGGCGUGCGUCUGAUUAGGUAGUUGGCGGGGUAACGGCCCACCAAGCCUGCGAUCAGUAACUGGUGUGAGAGCACGACCAGUCACACGGGCACUGAGACACGGGCCCGACUCCUACGGGAGGCAGCAGUAAGGAAUAUUGGUCAAUGGACGAAAGUCUGAACCAGCCAUGCCGGUGAAGGAUUAAGGCCCUCUGGGUUGUAAACUUCUUUUAUCUGGGGCGAAAAAAGGGUAUUCUUACUCACUUGACGGUACCAGAGGAAUAAGCACCGGUUAACUCCGUGCCAGCAGCCGCGGUAAUACGGAGGGUGCAAGCGUUAUCCGGAUUUACUGGGUUUAAAGGGUGCGUAGGUGGGUCUGUAAGUCAGUGGUGAAAUCUCCGGGCUUAACCCGGAAAACUGCCAUUGGAUACUUAUAGGUCUUGAAUUAUCUGGAGGUAAGCGGAAUAUGUCAUGUAGGCGGGUGAAAUGCUUAGAUUUGACAUAGGAAACAACCAAUUUGCGAAGG
rnacentral:rRNA from 1 species